rnacentral:rRNA from 1 species
UACGGAGGGGGCUAGCGUUGUUCGGAAUUACUGGGCGUAAAGCGCACGUAGGCGGCUUGGCAAGUUAGAGGUGAAAGCCUGCGGCUCAACCGCAGAAUUGCCUUUAAAACUGCUUCGCUUGAACGUCGGAGAGGUGAGUGGAAUUCCGAGUGUAGAGGUGAAAUUCGUAGAUAUUCGGAAGAACACCAGUGGCGAAGGCGGCUCACUGGACGACUGUUGACGCUGAGGUGCGAAAGCGUGGGGAGCAAAC